UACGGGGGGGGCAAGCGUUGUUCGGAAUUACUGGGCGUAAAGGGCUCGUAGGUGGCCAACUAAGUCACACGUGAAAUCCCUCGGCUUAACCGGGGAACUGCGUGUGAUACUGGUUGGCUUGAGUUUGGGAGAGGGACGCGGAAUUCCAGGUGUAGCGGUGAAAUGCGUAGAUAUCUGGAGGAACACCGGUGGCGAAGGCGGCGUCCUGGACCAAUACUGACACUGAGGAGCGAAAGCCAGGGGAGCAAACAGG
rnacentral:rRNA from 1 species